UUAAAAAACAAAAUAGGGAUUAAUAUCUAAGAAAUAUACUUCUAUUAAGCUUUUUAGUUGGGGCGACUAAGGAACAAAUAAAGCUUCUUUUAAGGAAUUAUGCAAAUUAGCUCGGAUCCAGCAUCGCUGAUUAAGAAAAUUAGUUA
rnacentral:rRNA from 1 species